CCUACGGGUGGCAGCAGUGGGGAAUAUUGCGCAAUGGGCGAAAGCCUGACGCAGCGACGCCGCGUGAGGGAUGAAGGUCUUCGGAUCGUAAACCUCUGUCAGCAGGGAAGAACGGUCACUGUGCUAAUCAGCAGUGAAUUGACGGUACCUGCAAAGGAAGCACCGGCUAACUCCGUGCCAGCAGCCGCGGUAAUACGGAGGGUGCGAGCGUUAAUCGGAAUUACUGGGCGUAAAGCGCUCGUAGGCGGUAUGUCAAGUCAAGGGUGAAAUCCCCGCGCUCAACGUGGGAACUGCCGUUGAAACUGGCAAACUUGAGUGUGUGAGAGGAUAGUGGAAUUCCAGGUGUAGGAGUGAAAUCCGUAGAUAUCUGGAGGAACAUCAGUGGCGAAGGCGACUAUCUGGCACCUAACUGACGCUGAGGCACGAAAGCGUGGGUAUCGAACAGGAUUAGAUACCCUUGUAGUC
rnacentral:rRNA from 1 species